rnacentral:siRNA from 1 species
UGGGACUAUAUGUUUACAUAGG